GGCUGCCUAGUGUAACGGUCAUCACAUCAGAUUCUGAUUCCAUACAGUCAGGUUUCAUUCUGGGGACCCCGGUUCGACUCCGGGGGCGGCCU